rnacentral:rRNA from 1 species
UGGGGAAUAUUGCACAAUGGGCGCAAGCCUGAUGCAGCCAUGCCGCGUGUGUGAAGAAGGCCUUCGGGUUGUAAAGCACUUUCAGCGAGGAGGAAGGUGGUGAGCUUAAUACGCUCAUCAAUUGACGUUACUCGCAGAAGAAGCACCGGCUAACUCCGUGCCAGCAGCCGCGGUAAUACGGAGGGUGCAAGCGUUAAUCGGAAUUACUGGGCGUAAAGCGCACGCAGGCGGUUUGUUAAGUCAGAUGUGAAAUCCCCGGGCUCAACCUGGGAACUGCAUUUGAAACUGGCAAGCUAGAGUCUCGUAGAGGGGGGUAGAAUUCCAGGUGUAGCGGUGAAAUGCGUAGAGAUCUGGAGGAAUACCGGUGGCGAAAGGCGGCCCCCCUGGACGAAGACUGACGCUCAGGUGCGAAAAGCGUGGGGAGCAAAACAGGAUUAGAUACCCUGGUAGUCCACGCUGUAAAACGAUGUCGAUUUUGGAGGUUGUGCCCUUGAGGCGUGGCUUCCGGAGCUAACGCGUUAAAUCGACCGCCUGGGGGAGU